rnacentral:rRNA from 1 species
GCACAAGCGGUGGAUGAUGUGGAUUAAUUCGAUGCAACGCGAAAACCUUUACCUACCCUUGACAUGUCUGGAACCUUGGUGAGAGCCGAGGGUGCCUUCGGGAGCCAGAACACAGGUGCUGCAUGGCUGUCGUCAGCUCGUGUCGUGAGAUGUUGGGUUAAGUCCCGCAACGAGCGCAACCCUUGUCACUAGUUGCCAUCAUUUGGUUGGGCACUCUAGUGAGACUGCCGGUGACAAACCGGAGGAAGGUGGGGAUGACGUCAAGUCCUCAUGGCCCUUAUGGGUAGGGCUUCACACGUCAUACAAUGGUCGGUACAGAGGGUUGCCAAGCCGCGAGGCGGAGCCAAUCCCACAAAGCCGAUCGUAGUCCGGAUUGUUCUCUGCAACUCGAGAGCAUGAAGUCGGAAUCGCUAGUAAUCGCAGGUCAGCAUACUGCGGUGAAUACGUUCCCGGGUCUU